GAUGAAGAACGUAGCGAAAUGCGAUAAGUAAUGUGAAUUGCAGAAUUCAGUGAAUCAUCGAAUCUUUGAACGCACAUUGCGCCCGCCAGUAUUCUGGCGGGCAUGCCUGUUCGAGCGUCAUUUCAACCAUCAAGCCCCCGGGCUUGUGUUGGGGACCUGCGGCUGCCGCAGGCCCUGAAAAGCAGUGGCGGGCUCGCUGUCACACCGAGCGUAGUAGAUUUUAUCUCGCUCAGGGCGUGCUGCGGGUUCCGGCCGUUAAACCACCUUCAUAACCCAAGGUUGACCUCGGAUCAGGUAGGAAUACCCGCUGAACUUAAGCAUAUCAAUAAGCGGAGGA
rnacentral:misc_RNA from 1 species